rnacentral:rRNA from 1 species
AGGGGAUAACAUUUGGAAACAAGUGCUAAUACCGUAUAAUACCAACAACCGCAUGGUUGUUGGUUCAAAGAUGGUUCUGCUAUCACUAAGAGAUGGACCCGCGGUGCAUUAGCUAGUUGGUAAGGUAACGGCUUACCAAGGCAAUGAUGCAUAGCCGAGUUGAGAGACUGAUCGGCCACAAUGGGACUGAGACACGGCCCAUACUCCUACGGGAGGCAGCAGUAGGGAAUCUUCCACAAUGGGCGCAAGCCUGAUGGAGCAACGCCGCGUGUGUGAUGAAGGGUUUCGGCUCGUAAAACACUGUUAUAAGAGAAGAACGACACUGAGAGUAACUGUUCAGUGUGUGACGGUAUCUUAUCAGAAAGGAACGGCUAAAUACGUGCCAGCAGCCGCGGUAAUACGUAUGUUCCAAGCGUUAUCCGGAUUUAUUGGGCGUAAAGCGAGCGCAGACGGUUAUUUAAGUCUGAAGUGAAAGCCCUCAGCUCAACUGAGGAAUGGCUUUGGAAACUGGA